rnacentral:rRNA from 1 species
CCUACGGGUGGCAGCAGUGAGGAAUAUUGGUCAAUGGACGAGAGUCUGAACCAGCCAAGUAGCGUGAAGGAUGACUGCCCUAUGGGUUGUAAACUUCUUUUAUAUGGGAAUAAAAUGUUCCACGUGUGGGAGUUUGUAUGUACCAUAUGAAUAAGGAUCGGCUAACUCCGUGCCAGCAGCCGCGGUAAUACGGAGGAUCCGAGCGUUAUCCGGAUUUAUUGGGUUUAAAGGGAGCGUAGGCUGCUUGUUAAGUCCGUUGUGAAAGUUUGCGGCUCAACCGUAAAAUUGCAGUUGAAACUGGCAGUCUUGAGUACAGUAGAGGUGGGCGGAAUUCGUGGUGUAGCGGUGAAAUGCUGAGAUAUCACGAAGAACUCCGAUUGCGAAGGCAGCUCACUGGACUGAAACUGACACUGAGGCUCGAAAGUGUGGGUAUCAAACAGGAUUAGAUACCCAAGUAGUC